rnacentral:rRNA from 1 species
GACAGAGGGGGCAAGCGUUGCUCGGAAUCACUGGGCGUAAAGGGCGCGUAGGCGGCCCGCCGCGUCCGGGGUGAAAUCCUCCCGCUCAACGGGAGAACGGCCUCGGAUACGGGCGGGCUGGAGGGGGGUAGGGGCGGGCGGAACUGUGGGUGGAGCGGUGAAAUGCGUUGAGAUCCACAGGAACUCCGGUGGCGAAGGCGGCCCGCUGGACCCCAUCUGACGCUGAGGCGCGAAAGCCAGGGGAGCGAACGGG